rnacentral:sRNA from 1 species
CAUCAAGCUCAAUGCUUCGACAGCCCAUCUUCAAAGCCCUCACAUACCCAUUGAUAUCAGCUGGCCCCCUGAACUGAUCUUCUAUCAGGAGACUGUGAGAGGCAUGGAGUGGAGCUGUGGACAGAGAAGAGGGUCCCGAUGACCUCCUAUCACCCUAGAUUCAGCUCAUGACUCCAGACUUAAGACUGAGUUAAUGACUUCUGCUCAAGACAAUGUGAACUUGAUGGCUGUCACUUUCAUGCAGCCACCCUGACAUGACCAUUUGGUAUAACCCCUGUGGACAGCAGGAGAGAGACUGUCCAUAGAAAACAUUGUCUGGAACUUUGGGGUCUAUUUGUGAUCGGUUAUUGAAAAUUCAUGGUGAUAUAAGCUUCGGAAUUUCCACUGGAUAAGUCAUACUUUAAAUGUUUCAUUAAUAAGAUGUAACUCUUAGGUAUAUUAGUAGUUUAAUAGCACUAUUGUGUAACAAAACAAAAUUAAAAUGCUUAUAUUGUCUACCAUUUUCUCAGAUUUAAAGAGAUACUUAAGUGCAAAAACUACAGAAUAAGAAGCCGCCAGCUGUUCAUGUGCUUAUGUGGGCAAACAGCAAAUCAAAAGAUGUCUGUCUUCAUCCCAUGUUUGCAAAUGCGGUAAGACCAUCACAUGAAGGAAGGAAAGACCCCACAGAUUUUACUAAAUUAUUUAACAGCUACAAACAGAUGCGGCAAAUCCAUUGAUGGUGACACAAAUCAUUUCCUCUCUUCUCUUCCAGCACAAUGAGCAAACACUUACAGGUACUAAAUCAGCAUCUUCAUGAAAGGCCAAAUAACAGGGCCCAUUCAUGAAUCACAGAAACAGACAUAUAGAGGGUAGCAAGAUGAAUCACCGACACAUCAAAUAUUUGCAGAAGAUAAAUAACUACUCUGAAGGAUACUGCAAAAAUAUUGUUACCAUGAUUCAAAUGUAAAAGUCAUUUCACUGAACUGACAUUUAUCAAAUAACUGGAGAGAAGAUGGUAAGAAUUAGAUUAUCAAGAUUUCCCUCAAAAUCAUUCUUAUUCACUUGGACCACUCUGGACCGGGCAUGCCUUCAGACUACACAGAUUCUCUAGUGAAAGAAAGCUUUUCUAAUGCUGUGUCCUCGUCUCUCACAAGGUGAUACCUACGCCUGUCUAGAAAA